CACGUAGGGGGCAAGCGUUGUCCGGAUUUAUUGGGCGUAAAGAGCUCGUAGGCGGCUUUGUCAGUCGGGUGUGAAACCUCCAGGCUCAACCUGGAGCCGCCACCCGAUACUGCAAUGGCUAGAGUCCGGUAGGGGAGCAUGGAACUCCUGGUGUAGCGGUGAAAUGCGCAGAUAUCAGGAAGAACACCAGUGGCGAAGGCGGUGCUCUGGGCCGGAACUGACGCUGAGGAGCGAAAGCGUGGGGAGCAAACAGG
rnacentral:rRNA from 2 species